rnacentral:rRNA from 1 species
CACUAUGCUUAGCCUUAAACUUAGACAAACCUUAUACUUGCGCUGUCCGCCUGGGAACUACAAGCACCAGCUUAAAACCCAAAGGACUUGGCGGUGCUUAACACCCCCCUAGAGGAGCCUGUUCUAGAACCGAUAACCCUCGUUUAACCUCACCCUUUUUUGCUUUUCCCGCCUAUAUACCGCCGUCGUCAGCUUACCCUAUGAAGGCCUAAUAGUAAGCAUAAUCAGUAUAACUCAAAACGUCAGGUCGAGGUGUAGCAAAUAAAAGGGGAAGAAAUGGGCUACAUUUCCUGCCCCAGGAAAUACGAAAAACAUGCUGAAAUUCAUGAUAGAAGGAGGAUUUAGCAGUAAGCAGAAAAUAGAGUGUUCUGCUGAAACAGGCCCUUAAGCGCGCACACACCGCCCGUCACUCUCCCCAAGCCAUCAUUUAACCCAUUUUUAAAAAAUCAACCAAGGCAAAGGGGAGGCAAGUCGUAA